CACCAUCCAGUUGUAAUUAAGCACCUGCAUAGAUAACUUCUCGCCAUUGUCAAAAAAUCUAGUUUAUUUACUAUCGCUAGCCCACCUACAAUUACCACAACUACCCUAAUUUUGCAUAUAAAUAAUUUAUGCAUCCAGUUUCACACACCUCUAUUUACUAGCUAUGCGAGAUUAUUUUCAUACCUCUCAAAAUUACUGGAAGUUCUUGCAGAAAUGUGAGUGUUGCACAUUGUAUAUUUGUUGUCAAUUAUCUCUCAAGUAAACAUAACUUUUAAUCGAUCCACAAUUUUCAUUUCGUCAGGUCAUGGAUCAUACAUGAGUACCCUAGAUUAGUAGACAUUCUUGGAAUUGUUAUCAGGAACUGUUAAUUGGAACCACCCAAUGGAUCACAAGCUUUUCUCUUGUAUAAUCAGGCGAAUAAUGCAGAUCAACAUCACAGAAUGCAUCAUGGCAUGGAUUUCUCAUUGGAGCUGUCAUCUUGAACCAUAAUUUGCGGUAGAUGUGGUGGAAGUAAUGAAUUACUCAAAUAUUGCAUCUAUCCCAAACCAAUUUGUCAAACAGGGGUUUACCGUAAACUCUUGCUGGCUGAUAAUAUUGAUAACCACGGAUGAAUGAUAUUACACAAAGAAUGAUGAUGCAAGGGAGCGCAUCCAGUUUUGCUGAAGAUCGCCUCCACGCGGCUAACAUUGAACUUACCAUGUUGGAUUAGGCAAUGCUGCCACUCUUGUGUAGA